GGAUAACUACCCUUUAGGACUGGGAUAACCCUGGGAAACUGGGGAUAAUACCGGAUAGGCAAUUUUUCCUGUAAUGGUUUUUUGUUUAAAUGUUUUUUCGCCUAAGGAUGGGUCUGCGGCCGAUUAGGUAGUUGGUUAGGUAAUGGCUUACCAAGCCGUUGAUCGGUACGGGUUGUGAGAGCGAGAGCCCGGAGAUGGAACCUGAGACAAGGUUCCAGGCCCUACGGGGUGCAGCAGGCGCGAAACCUCCGCAAUGUGAGAAAUCGCGACGGGGGGAUCCCAAGUGCCAUUCUUAACGGGAUGGCUUUUCAUUAGUGUAAAGAGCUUUUGGAAUAAGGGCUGGGCAAGACCGGUGCCAGCCGCCGCGGUAACACCGGCAGCUCUAGCGGUAGCAGUUUUUAUUGGGCCUAAAGCGUCCGUAGCCGGUUUAAUAAGUCUCUGGUGAAAUCCUGUAGCUUAACUGUGGGAAUUGCUGGAGAUACUAUUAGACUUGAGACCGGGAGAGGUUAGAGGUACUCCCAGGGUAGAGGUGAAAUUCUGUAAUCCUGGGAGGACCGCCUGUUGCGAAGGCGUCUAACUGGAACGGUUCUGACGGUGAGGGACGAAAGUUAGGGGCGCGAACCGGAUUAGAUACCCGGGUAGUCCUAACUGUAAACGAUGCGGACUUGGUGUUGGGGUGGCUUUGAGCUGCUUCAGUGCCGAAGGGAAGCUGUUAAGUCCGCCGCCUGGGAAGUACGGUCGCAAGACUGAAACUUAA
rnacentral:rRNA from 1 species